rnacentral:rRNA from 1 species
UGGGGAAUAUUGCACAAUGGGCGCAAGCCUGAUGCAGCCAUGCCGCGUGUGUGAAGAAGGCCUUCGGGUUGUAAAGCACUUUCAGCGAGGAGGAAGGUGGUGAGCUUAAUACGCUCAUCAAUUGACGUUACUCGCAGAAGAAGCACCGGCUAACUCCGUGCCAGCAGCCGCGGUAAUACGGAGGGUGCAAGCGUUAAUCGGAAUUACUGGGCGUAAAGCGCACGCAGGCGGUUUGUUAAGUCAGAUGUGAAAUCCCCGGGCUCAACCUGGGAACUGCAUUUGAAACUGGCAAGCUAGAGUCUCGUAGAGGGGGGUAGAAUUCCAGGUGUAGCGGUGAAAUGCGUAGAGAUCUGGAGGAAUACCGGUGGCGAAGGCGGCCCCCUGGACGAAGACUGACGCUCAGGUGCGAAAGCGUGGGGCAGCAAACAGGAUUAGAUACCCUGGUAGUCCACGCUGUAAACGAUGUCGAUUUGGAGGUUGUGCCCUUGAGGCGUGGCUUCCGGAGCUAACGCGUUAAAGUCGACCGCCUGGGGAGUACGGCCGCAAGGUU